rnacentral:rRNA from 1 species
UAAUACGUAGGUGGCAAGCGUUAUCCGGAAUUAUUGGGCGUAAAGCGCGCGCAGGUGGUUUCUUAAGUCUGAUGUGAAAGCCCACGGCUCAACCGUGGAGGGUCAUUGGAAACUGGGAGACUUGAGUGCAGAAGAGGAAAGUGGAAUUCCAUGUGUAGCGGUGAAAUGCGUAGAGAUAUGGAGGAACACCAGUGGCGAAGGCGACUUUCUGGUCUGUAACUGACACUGAGGCGCGAAAGCGUGGGGAGCAAACAGGAUUAGAUACCCUGGUAGUCCACGCCGUAAACGAUGAGUGCUAAGUGUUAGAGGGUUUCCGCCCUUUAGUGCUGAAGUUAACGCAUUAAGCACUCCGCCUGGGGAGUACGGCCGCAAGGCUGAAACUCAAAUGAAUUGACGG